rnacentral:rRNA from 1 species
UGAGUAACACGUGGGCAAUCUGCCCUGCACUUCGGGAUAAGCCUGGGAAACUGGGUCUAAUACCGGAUAGGACCUUUAGACGCAUGUCUUUUGGUGGAAAGCUUUUGCGGUGUGGGAUGGGCCCGCGGCCUAUCAGCUUGUUGGUGGGGUGAUGGCCUACCAAGGCGACGACGGGUAGCCGGCCUGAGAGGGUGUCCGGCCACACUGGGACUGAGAUACGGCCCAGACUCCUACGGGAGGCAGCAGUGGGGAAUAUUGCACAAUGGGCGCAAGCCUGAUGCAGCGACGCCGCGUGGGGGAUGACGGCCUUCGGGUUGUAAACCUCUUUCACCAUCGACGAAGGUCCGGGUUUUCUCGGAUUGACGGUAGGUGGAGAAGAAGCACCGGCCAACUACGUGCCAGCAGCCGCGGUAAUACGUAGGGUGCGAGCGUUGUCCGGAAUUACUGGGCGUAAAGAGCUCGUAGGUGGUUUGUCGCGUUGUUCGUGAAAUCUCACGGCUUAACUGUGAGCGUGCGGGCGAUACGGGCAGACUAGAGUACUGCAGGGGAGACUGGAAUUCCUGGUGUAGCGGUGGAAUGCGCAGAUAUCAGGAGGAACACCGGUGGCGAAGGCGGGUCUCUGGGCAGUAACUGACGCUGAGGAGCGAAAGCGUGGGGAGCGAACAGGAUUAGAUACCCUGGUAGUCCACGCCGUAAACGGUGGGUACUAGGGUGUGGGGUUUCCUUCCUUGGGAUCCGUGCCGUAGCUAACGCAUUAAGUACCCCGCCUGGGGGAGUACGGGCCGCAAGGCUAAAACUCAAAGGAAUUGACGGGGGGCCCGCACAA